rnacentral:rRNA from 1 species
CCAUGCAUGUGUGAGUACAAGCCCAAGGAAGGUGAAACCGCGAAUGGCUCAUUAAAUCAGCUAUGGUUUACUGGACCUGUACUACCAUAUACUUGGAUAACUGUGGUAAUUCUAGAGCUAAUACAUGCCUCGAGUCUCUGACCGCGGGAGCGGGAAGAGCGCUUUUAUUAGUACUAAAACCAGUGUCUGUGUAUCGGCUUAGGUCGUUGCAUAGUCUUUUUUUUGUGGUGACUCUGAAUAACUUUUGGCUGAGCGCAUGGUCUCCGCACCUGGCGCCGCAUCUUUCAAGUGUCUGCCUUAUCAGCUGUCGAUUGUAGGUUAUGCGCCUACAAUGGCGAUAACGGGUAACGGGGAAUCAGGGUUCGAUUCCGGAGAGGGAGCCUGAGAAACGGCUACCACAUCUAAGGAAGGCAGCAGGCACGCAAAUUACCCAUUCCCGGCACGGGGAGGUAGUGACGAAAAAUAACGAUGCGAGACUCAUCCGAGGCCUCGCAAUCGGAAUGAGAACACUUUAAAUCCUUUAUCGAGGAUCGAUUGGAGGGCAAGUCUGGUGCCAGCAGCCGCGGUAAUUCCAGCUCCAAUAGCGUAUAUUAAAGUUGCUGCGGUUAAAAAGCUCGUAGUUGGAUCUCAGUUCCGGACGGCCGGUGCACCUCCCCGGUGCAUUUUGCGGCUUGAUCCGAACACUACUGUUGUGGGCGCGCAGGGGGUGCUCUUGAUCGAGUGUGCCCUGGCUGUGCCUGCGAGUUUACUUUGAAAAAAUUAGAGUGCUCAGAGCAGGCCUUGUUUGUUUGUGCCUGAAUGACUUUGCAUGGAAUAAUGGAAUAGGACCUCGGUUCUAUUUUGCUGGUUUUGUCCUCGGAACCCGAGGUAAUGACUAAUAGAAACAGGCGGGGGCAUUCGUACUGCGACGCUAGAGGUGAAAUUCUUGGACCGUCGCAAGACGAACUAAUGCGAAAGCAUCUGCCAAGGAUGUUUUCAUUAAUCAAGAACGAAAGUUAGAGGUUCGAAGGCGAUCAGAUACCGCCCUAGUUCUAACCGUAAACGAUGCUAACCAGCGAUCCGCCCGCGUUAUUCCCAUGACCGGGCGGGGAGCUUCGGGGAAACCAAAGUGUUUGAGUUCCGGGGGAAGUAUGGUUGCAAAGCUGAAACUUAAAGGAAUUGACGGAAGGGCACCACCAGGAGUGGAGCCUGCGGCUUAAUUUGACUCAACACGGGAAACCUCACCAGGCCCGGACACCGGAAGGAUUGACAGAUUGAGAGCUCUUUCUCGAUUCGGUGGGUGGUGGUGCAUGGCCGUUCUUAGUUGGUGGAGCGAUUUGUCUGGUUAAUUCCGAUAACGAACGAGACUCGGACCUACUAACUAGUCGACGGAUCUUCCGUCCGACGGUGUCCAGUUCGUAAAGUCUUCUUAGAGGGAUAAGCGGCAAGUGUAGCCGCAGGAGAUCGAGCAAUAACAGGUCUGUGAUGCCCUUAGAUGUUCUGGGCCGCACGCGCGCUACACUGAAGUGUUCAACGUGUUGUCCCUGUCCGAGAGGAUCGGGUAACCCGCUGAAAGCAUUUCUUGAUAGGGAUGGGGGCUUGCAAUUGUUCCCCCUGAACGAGGAAUUCCCAGUAAGCGCAAGUCAAUAGCUUGCGUUGAUUACGUCCCUGCCCUUUGUACACACCGCCCGUCGCUACUACCGAUUGAAUGAUUUAGUGAGGCCUUCGGACUGGCGCCCUGGGUCUGAUGCACUUGGCCUUAGUGCCUUGUGUAUCGCCUAGGGUCGACGGAAAGAUGUCCAAACUUGAUCA